ACGAAGGACUAAACAUAUAGCAGGAGUGACCUAGGAAAGGCUAGAGUUAAACUGUUGGGACCCGAAAGAUGGUGACUAUACUUGUGGUGUUUAAAGCCAAAGGAAACUUUGGUGGAAGGACUUAGGAGUAUUAACGUGCAAAUUACUUGCAAUAUAUGAGUAUAGGGCGAAAGACUAAUCGAACUAUCUAGUAGCUGGUUCCACCUGAAUAUUCCCUUGGGAAGGUUGAAGUGAGAAAGUAGUGACGAUUGGUAAAGAUAAUGAUUGGACAUGAUAAACAGUUUGAUUUUCAACAAUUUAACAAACUAUGAAUAGUCGAGAGAUUCAAAAAUAUACCAAUUUAUUAGGGAUGAGCAUAUGCAGACUUCAAAUCGUCCAAGUUUGGUAAACAGGACUGGCGAUGCGGGAUGAACCAAACAUACAGAUAAAGUAUCCAAGUCUUGCAUGAGGAGAACCAUAAAAGGUGUUCAUUCAUAUUGACAAUAGGGCGAUGGCCAUGGAAGUUGGAAAUCGCUAAGGAGUGUGUAACAACUCACCUAUCGAAUGGAUGAGCCCGAUAAUGGAAAGUAAUAUUAUGAGAGAUUAAUACUGUAUCCUUGUGAAGGCUGAAGCGCAUGAGGAGUAAGGAAAUGCAUGGUGUCAAGAACAUAUGAGUGAUAAAGGUAGAGAAGUGAUUUCUAUUGAAACAGACUUGAGUACAAAUCUUGGU
rnacentral:ncRNA from 1 species